CUUGCUUUCUCCGCCGGCGACCGGCGCACGGGUGAGUAACACGUAUGCAACCUGCCCCUGUCAGGGGGACAACCCGCCGAAAGGCGGGCUAAACCCGCGUACAUGCCACCGGGGCAUCCCGGAGGCAGGAAAGGCUUCGGCCGGACAGGGAUGGGCAUGCGGCGCAUUAGGCAGUAGGCGGGGUAACGGCCCACCUAACCGACGAUGCGGUAGGGGUUCUGAGAGGAAGGUCCCCCACACUGGUACUGAGACACGGACCAGACUCCUACGGGAGGCAGCAG
rnacentral:rRNA from 1 species